GCGCUUGCUCUAGCGGCACACAUAAUAAACUUGGAGUGAUGCAGAGAGGAUUAUCAUGCCCUUGCACAAAGAUGAUAUGCAAAUUUGGAAAGCAUUUCAUAUUAAA
ensembl:snRNA U6 U6 spliceosomal RNA